rnacentral:rRNA from 1 species
GAACGCUAGCUACAGGCUUAACACAUGCAAGUCGAGGGGCAGCAUGUUGGUUGCUUGCAACCAAUGAUGGCGACCGGCGCACGGGUGAGUAACGCGUAUCCAACCUUCCCCUUAGUAGGGCAUAGCCCGUAGAAAUGCGGAUUAAUACCCUAUGUUGUAUAUUGAGGACAUCUGAUUUAUACCAAAGGUUCACCGCUAAGGGAUGGGGAUGCGUCUGAUUAGGUUGUUGGUGGGGUAACGGCCCACCAAGCCGACGAUCAGUAGGGGUUCUGAGAGGAAGGUCCCCCACAUUGGAACUGAGACACGGUCCAAACUCCUACGGGAGGCAGCAGUGAGGAAUAUUGGUCAAUGGACGAGAGUCUGAACCAGCCAAGUAGCGUGCAGGAUGACGGCCCUAUGGGUUGUAAACUGCUUUUAUACGGGGAUAAAGUGACCCACGUGUGGGUUUUUGUAGGUACCGUAUGAAUAAGGACCGGCUAAUUCCGUGCCAGCAGCUGC